rnacentral:lncRNA from 1 species
GCUUUUUUUUCACCCUGCUUUAAAAGCCCUUGGGCCCUUCCCAGCUGGGUGCCAGCCAACUGUGGCUGCCUGGGACACUCCAUCUUAAGUCCCUGUGCCUCUGCUGUGUGUUACUGAGUGCCUAGGCCGUGCCAGCCUGUAUUCAUCUGUACUAUGACCUGAAGAGGCAGAGGCCAUCACUGUUGGUCCGGUCUCCACCUGGGGAAACUGAGGUUGCACAGUUGCGUGGUGGAGUGAGGGCAGGGCCUGGGUCUGGGGGCGGGGCCUGGGUCUGACCCCAGGGACUGGUUUUUGUGUUCAGGUGUCUCUGUGGUGACGAGCAGGGCUUCAUCCAGUGCCUCUGUCCCCACCGAGGGGACUAUGGGAGACAUGGAGGGUGUGUGAGCAACAGGUGAGACUGGAGCCAGCUGAAAACUGGGAGACCGACCCAGCCAACAAACAAUGUCGGUCUCUGUCUUGGCACCUGCAGGAAACAAGCUCCUACUUCCAGAAAAAGUGCUCCUGGGACUCCAGGAUACCAGGCAUCUGGGUAAGCUACAAUGCUUAACCACUUAACACAAUCAGGAAGCAACAGCCAUGCAUUCGGGAAAGGAACUUCAGUGUUGUGUGGCUCAGUCUC